GAUGAACGCUAGCGAUAGGCCUAACACAUGCAAGUCGAGGGGCAUCACAUGAAGUAGCAAUACGGAUGGUGGCGACCGGCGCACGGGUGAGUAACACGUAUGCAACCUGCCUUCAACAAGGGGAUAACCCGUUGAAAGACGGACUAAUACCCUAUAACACAGGGGUCCCGCAUGGGGAUAUUUGUUAAAGGACAACCGGUUGAAGAUGGGCAUGCGUUCCAUUAGCUAGUUGGCGGGGUAACGGCCCACCAAGGCAACGAUGGAUAGGGGAACUGAGAGGUUUAUCCCCCACACUGGUACUGAGACACGGACCAGACUCCUACGGGAGGCAGCAGUGAGGAAUAUUGGUCAAUGGACGCAAGUCUGAACCAGCCACGUCGCGUGAAGGAAGACGGCCCUACGGGUUGUAAACUUCUUUUAACGGGAAUAAAGUGCCCCACGCGUGGGGUUUUGCAUGUACCGUAUGAAUAAGGAUCGGCUAACUCCGUGCCAGCAGCCGCGGUAA
rnacentral:rRNA from 1 species